CUUCACACAGUCCUCAUGCAUUCUAAGGAGCAGAUAAUUUUAUUCUCAUUAGAUGACUGUAGCAUUUUCUUCUUUAGCAUGAGAAUUUUGAUAUUUCUCCAAGAUAUGUCUACCUCUAGUUCAUUUUAUCCAACCUGCUUGCAAACAUUUUUAAUCUGAUAACCUCUGUCUCUGGAAGAUUUAGUGCGAUGAUGGCCCAAGUUCUGCGCACCUGCCCACAUGCAACCCCUUUGGUUCUCCAGGCUGGCCAUGUCAUUUGCUUUGGCCCAUGGACACGAGCAAAGGAGAAGUACGUAGAGACUUGAAAAAGCUCUGUGCUUUGGAAAUUACACUCCUACUGCCCCUAGAAAUCCUGCCCAGAUAAUAAGCCAAAGUUAGCCGGAUGAAGGAACAAGUGGCUCCAGGAUUCCUGUCAUACAGCCAACGGUCAGUGAUAUAGUGAGUCGUCUCCUAUCAGCUAAUCCUGCGGCAAUCUUCGAGCGGACCCGAGUCCCAUGAGCUCUUGCAGGUGAAAGAGCCACACCUUGUCCAGACUCAAAGAAGCAACCAGCAAAUCCGCACCACUUCUACAAAAUAAACAGCUGCUGUUUUAGGCCACUCGGCUUUGCAGUUCUGUGUUGCAUGCCCAAGGUUAACUGAUACAUCGUGUUUCUUACAGUCUUUCAGUACUGUAUUCUCUGCCUUUGACUGAAUUCCUCUUACGUUCAUGAGAGGGUGGCUCUCUCGACUCUACCCUUCAUUUCCAUAACCUUUUCUGCGUCGCAGUCCCUUGUCUUUCCGCUCUAAGUGUUGGGAUUUCAUAUGCAAUUUAACUUGAGGAGAAAAACGAGCCUACACUUCUACCAGUUGGCCCAAUAAAUUUUUAAUUAGGUAACCAUAUUUUUAAUUUCCUGGAAAUUUCUUGCUCUCUGCUUCUUUUUCGUAACAGCCUGUUACAGAUAGAACAUCCUCUCAAAUUCUGCUAAGGGUACUAAUUAGACUUCUUUUUAAAGUCUCCUGUACUCCCUAGAAGAAGACUUAAAUCUUCUGGUAUCGGCUACUCUUUUUGUUCAUCUAAAUAUAGUUUUUCCUUAAAUAUCAAAUGAUCCUUGAUUGUCAGCUUAUUUUUCUAAAUGAAAAAUGAUGCCAGUGGGUAUCCACAGUCUUUCACGUACGCGGUGAAAUACAUUAUCCCAAAAGGCCUCUCCCUAGACUGAAACGGAUGUCAACAGUCAGAAUGUUCUGCAGAACAGCAAGUAGGCGUGGUGGUAACCCCCACAAUGUUUUAUGAAUUUCACUACUGAACACAUUUUCUACUUUUUCUCUAACGUUCAAUGUGAGGUUUCAUUGUGGGAAAAAAAAAAUCCACAAUCUGCUUCAUUAUUUUAAUGUUCCCUUAGGAGAAAAGAGAAUUAGGCUAGUGUGUUUCAUCUGUUGAUUCCAACCAACUCUCAACAAUUACUUUCACCCUUGACCUCUUUUUAGGUUCUUGUUUAUUAGCUUCCUUGCGUCAUAAAAUGCCUGAUGCUAACAACAGAAUUAUUUUCGAUGGAAUGUAUUUUGAGAAUGCUACAUGUAAAAAAAUGAUAUAUUUAUAAUAAUUAAAGAUUCUAAUACAGACAUUUUAUAGGAAAAC
ensembl:lincRNA